rnacentral:rRNA from 1 species
AAAGCACUUUCAGUCGUGAGGAAGGUAGUGUAGUUAAUAGCUGCACUUAUUUGACGUUAGCGACAGAAGAAAGCACCGGCUAACUCCGUGCCAGCAGCCGCGGUAAUACGGAGGGUGCGAGCGUUAAUCGGAAUUACUGGGCGUAAAGCGCAUGCAGGUGGUUUGUUAAGUCAGAUGUGAAAGCCCGGGGCUCAACCUCGGAAUUGCAUUUGAAACUGGCAGACUAGAGUACUGUAGAGGGGGGUAGGAAUUUCAGGUGUAGCGGUGAAAUGCGUAGAGAUCUGAAGGAAUACCGGUGGCGAAGGCGGCCCCCCUGGACAGAUACUGACACUCACGAUGCGAAAGCGUGGGGAGCAAACAGGAUUAGAUACCCUGGUAG